CGGACGGGUGAGUAAUGUCUGGGAAACUGCCUGAUGGAGGGGGAUAACUACUGGAAACGGUAGCUAAUACCGCAUAACGUCGCAAGACCAAAGAGGGGGACCUUCGGGCCUCUUGCCAUCGGAUGUGCCCAGAUGGGAUUAGCUAGUAGGUGGGGUAAAGGCUCACCUAGGCGACGAUCCCUAGCUGGUCUGAGAGGCUGACCAGCCACACUGGAACUGAGACACGGUCCAG
rnacentral:rRNA from 1 species